CCACUCUUCGUGAUACCUAUGGUGAGAUGGCUGACUGCUGUAAUAAACAAGAGUUGAGAGAUACCAUUGCCUUGUAAAGUAUAAAGAUGAGAAGCUCAACCUCCCUCCACUUGAUCUAAAAAAAUACUGAUGCUAUGUGUGUUACCUUUGAAGAGAGUAGCCAGAAGAUUUGGGGACAGUAAGUUAUCUAUGUUUCAAAAUUAAAAAUUAAGUAAUAAAUCAAUACUCAUUACAAUAAGUACCAUACCACAAACCAUUUCCAACAUUAAGACUUGCCCCUCAUUGAUAUACAAAAUUACAUAUAAGAGAAUUUGAGGGGGAAGGGAAAAAAACAAGAGAAAGAAUUAAAUUACAACAGAUGGGGUAGAGAGAGAAGAUGGGAGGGGAGGGGAAGGGGGAUAGUAGAGGAUAGGAAAGGUAGCAGAAUACAACAGUUACUAAUAUGGCAUUAUGUAAAAAUGUGGAUGUGUAAUUGAUGUGAUUCUGCAAUCUGUAUUUGGGGUAAAAAUGGGAGUUCAUAACCCACUUGAAUCGAAUGUAUGAAAUAUGAUAUGUCAAGAGUUUUGUAAUGUUUAGAAUAACCAAUAAAAAAAAAACAGAAAAAAAAAUAAGACUUGGAAGUUUUGAUCUCAUGUUGAAUUUUAAAGAAAAAAUAUUUCACACCAUGAAAUUCAACACAACCAAAAAUAUGAUCAAAGAUAAUUGAUCUUGAAACAGGAUAUGAUCCAUAUUAAAAUUUGAAAUAUGCAUAUUUUAAAAGAUUCUGAAGAAAUAUAUAGUUAUUCUCAGGAUUGAUUUCAUUUUAGUCAGCAAUAUUAUAUCACCCCAAUUUAACCAUUUAUAUAUGAUUCACAUACAUGCAUAUCACAAAUUCAUCCUUUCUUUUCACUGACUUAAAGAAUGACAAAGACAAGGCUAUCAGACACAAAUUGAGCUUCAAUGGUAAAUUAUGUUUUGGGGUUUUGGAAGCUCGGGGGAGAAUGUUGAUUGUAAUUGUUUCUGUAAUAUCGUGUGGUAUGGAAAAGUGACUUACUAUUAUCCUUUUUUAAAUGUUAGGUUUUUAUAUGAAAUUUCCAGAAGACAUCCUUACUUCAGUGGCUCAGAACUCAUUUACUUUGCUGAAAAGUUUAAAGACUAUCUGACAGAAUGUUGCCCAGCUGCUGAUAAAGGAGAAUGCCUGACCCCAAAG
rnacentral:lncRNA from 1 species